CGAGGGCACGGCCUGGGUUGAGGCCGCCCGGCUGCUGGCCCGGCGGUACGGCGUGCGGAUCGACGCCUACGCC
rnacentral:tRNA from 1 species